AGCACACAUCUCGUAGCUUACAACGCCUCGCUUAACCACACCCCUACGGGAGACAGCAGUGACAAAAAUUAAGCCAUAAACGAAAGUUUGACUAAGCCAUGUUGACCAGGGUUGGUAAAUCUCGUGCCAGCCACCGCGGUCAUACGAUUAACCCAAGCUAACAGGAAUACGGCGUAAAACGUGUUAAAGCACUACAUCAAAUAGAGUUAAAUUCUAAUUAAACUGUAAAAAGCCAUAAUUACAACAAAAAUAAAUGACGAAAGUAACCCUACUGCAGCUGAUACACUAUAGCUAAGACCCAAACUGGGAUUAGAUACCCCACUAUGCUUAGCCCUAAACACAAAUAAUUACAGAAACAAAAUUAUUCGCCAGAGUACUACCGGCAACAGCCCGAAACUCAAAGGACUUGGCG
rnacentral:rRNA from 1 species